CACCUUAUAGCUAGCUCAGCCAACAAAGAUCAAACAGUUCCUAUUUUUAAACCCAAAAACACGAGUGUUUAACCAAUAAACCAUUUUUCCCCCCAAGUAUGGGAGACAGAAAGGGGGCAUAUGAAGCGAUAGAUAAAGUACCGCAAGGGAACGCUGAAAGAGAAAUGAAAUAAAAUAAAAGUAUAAAAAAGCAGAGAUUUUACCUCGUACCUUUUGCAUCAUGAUUUAGCCAGUAACCCCAAGCAAAGAGCACUUUAGUUUGGCACCCCGAAACUAAGCGAGCUACUCCAAGACAGCCUAAAUAUAGGGCCAACCCGUCUCUGUGGCAAAAGAGUGGGAAGAGCUUUGAGUAGAGGUGAUAGACCUAUCGAGCUUAGUAAUAGCUGGUUGCCUGAGAACUGAAUAGAAGUUCAGCCUGUCAGCUUCUUUUUUCUAACAGGUGACUUAAUCUGAUAUAAAGAAACUAACAGAGUUAGUCAAAAGAGGUACAGCUCUUUUGAAAAAGAUACAACUUUUACAAAUGGGUAAAGAUCAUAACUAUCAAGGUAAAGAAUUUCAGUGGGCCUAAGAGCAGCCAUCUGCACAGAAAGCGUUAAAGCUCAGAUACAAAACUUCAACCUAUUAUCCUGAUAACCAACUCUUAGCCCUUUUAAACUUACCAGGCCGCCCCAUGCAAACAUGGGGGCGAUUAUGCUAAUAUGAGUAAUAAGAGAAUAUAGCUUCUCUCCUAGCAUCCCUGUAAAUCGGAACGGACCCCCCACCGAGAAUUAACCGGCCCCAGAAGCGGGUAUUGUGUAAUAAAAAAAACAACAAGAAAACCCCACAACAAAACACCGUUAAACCUACACCGGAGUGCAACCUAGGAAAGACUAACAGAAAAAGAAGGAACUCGGCAAACACACUGAGCCUCGCCUGUUUACCAAAAACAUCGCCUCUUGCAAAUCAAAGAAUAAGAGGUCUCGCCUGCCCUGUGACAUAAAAUGUUUAACGGCCGCGGUAUUUUGACCGUGCAAAGGUAGCGCAAUCACUUGUCUUUUAAAUGAAGACCUGUAUGAAUGGCACGACGAGGGCUAAACUGUCUCCUUUCUCUAGUCAAUGAAAUUGAUCUCCCCGUGCAGAAGCGGGGAUAAACCCAUAAGACGAGAAGACCCUAUGGAGCUUUAGACACUAAAGCAGGUCUUGUUAAAGACUCUUAAUUACAAGAUUAAACCAAGAGAUCUCUGCUUCAAUGUCUUUGGUUGGGGCGACCGCGGGGUAAUAAAAAACCCCCAUGUGGACCGAGAAAACUUUUCUCACAACCAAGAGCCACAGCUCUACUAAACAGAACUUCUGACCUUAAGAUCCGGCAAUAAGCCGAUUAACGGACCGAGUUACCCUAGGGAUAACAGCGCAAUCCCCUUUCAGAGCCCAUAUCGACAAGGGGGUUUACGACCUCGAUGUUGGAUCAGGACAUCCUAAUGGUGCAGCCGCUAUUAAGGGUUCGUUUGUUCAACGAUUAAAGUCCUACGUGAUCUGAGUUCAGACCGGAGCAAUCCAGGUCAGUUUCUAUCUAUGCAGCAUUUUUUCCUAGUACGAAAGGACCGGAAAAAAAAGGCCCAUGCAAAAGUAUGCCUUACCUCAACCCAGUGAAAACAACUAAACUAGACAAAGGGGUGCACCCCUUUGUCUAAGAUAAUGACAU
rnacentral:rRNA from 1 species